UACGGGGGGGGCAAGCGUUGUUCGGAAUUACUGGGCGUAAAGGGCUUGUAGGUGGCCAACUAAGUCAGACGUGAAAUCCCUCGGCUUAACCGGGGAACUGCGUCUGAUACUGGAUGGCUUGAGUGUGGGAGAGGGAUGCGGAAUUCCAGGUGUAGCGGUGAAAUGCGUAGAUAUGCGGAGGAACACCGAUGGCGAAGGCAGUCCCCUGGGCCUGUACUGACGCUCAUGCACGAAAGCGUGGGGAGCAAACAGG
rnacentral:rRNA from 1 species